rnacentral:rRNA from 1 species
UGUGUAGACGGCAUAUUAAGUCAAUUGUUAAAUUCUCCGGCCUAACCGGAGAUCUGCGGUAGAUACUGAUGUGCUAGAGGAUGGAAGAGAGAAGUGGAAUUCUCGGAGUAGCGGUAAAAUGCGUGGAUCUCGAGAGGAACACCAAUGGCGAAGGCAGCUUCUUAGUCCAUUCCUGACGUUGAGACACGAAAGCGUGGGGAGCAAACAGGAUUAGAUACCCUGGUAGUCC